ACCAUCAAUCAAUCUUGAAUAUUCUUUCUUAAGGCCAUAGAGGUUGAAGGUAACUUACCAUAUGCAUAUAGAUCGGUUCCUAUUUUCAACACCAUCUUUCUAGAGAUUAACCACGUAAGGGUUAUCCAUCUUGGUGACGAAUUCCUCAACAAAAGGACGUAAAAGGUAUUUCGGAGAAACUACCAAGUUGAAGAAGCGACGGGUUAGCAAGAAGAUGAUUACCGAAGACUAUUUCCUAUGUCGGAAAAUUAGAUGGGAAUCUGGGGACCAGAUUCCUUUAAGGAGGGGAGAUUGUAACACCCCGUAAUUUAUGCGAGAGUUUAUUGUACUUAAUAAUGAGAUUUGGGGCUAAUGUGUUAUUAAUAGAUAAUAUUGGGGAGAUAUGUAUAAUAAUAAUUUUAUAAACUUGGCAAUCAAGUUUUGAGGUGGUUUAUCAGAUAAUUGAGAAGUGUGAUUAAUUGGAAUUAGAUAGAGACACGUAGGCUUGACGAGUCAGAUUUUCUCAUCGUCAUCUUCAUCCGAUCAAUAGUGUCUUCCUACACUUCACUUCUCUCUAUAUAAACCAGGACCUUCUCAUCGAUAAACCAUCACCAGGAAAUCAGCAAAAACAAUUCGAAGAAAUUGAAGAAAUUGAGUGUGUAGAAAGAAUCAUGAAAGAACAAAAGGCAGGAUCGAUUCAUAUCCUCUUCUCCAAACUCCUUUCUCUCUCUCUCUCUCUCUCUCUCUCUCUCUCUCUCUCUCUCUCUCUCUCUCUCUCUCAUCAUCUCUCUCUUUCUCUCUCGCCUGCUCUCUUUUCCUCUCUAUCGAUUCUUGGCCGAAAUCACAGAAGUUAAUUGAGAAAAAGUCGAAUUCAUGAACGAGGUUUGGUGGAGUGGGGUAUAGGAAAGGAAUUUGAGGUUUUAAUCGGGAAAUCCCCAAUUCACAUUAUUGGCAGAAUUAGGGUUGCGUGAAGAAGGCUUUAUCAAGGGGCUACAACGAUCAGGUCGCCUACGGUGGUGGUCGCAUCAGAUGGUCGCCGGAAUCGGGUGAAGAAGAUAAGCUGUCCAAAAUCUGAAUUUCAGCUUUUGGUCCUUUGAAGAAUUAAUUGCUCGGAGGCCUUAAAGGUUGAAUAUUGACGAUCAGGACACGCGGUUAGAAACCUUGAGAUAUUAGCUUUCCAUUGGUGUUGGAACUCGGUAGUAUUAAUCGGCGGUGGUUGCCGGAAUUGGGCGAGAAGUUCAGCCUGCUCGCUGGACCUAUAAUGAAAUCUGCUGCCGCACUUGUUUUCGGAGCCAAAAUCGAAGGGUUUGGAGUAAGAAUUUAGGAAUAAUUCCUUCACGAAACUCGUAGAGGACCUCGAAAACUAUUGGUGUCGAGCGUACUAAAGCUCUCAUUCAAGACUCGAGCAUGACUCGAGAGUAAGGGUUUUUAUAGCACUUGCAUUGGACUUCAGGUGAGGAUCCGUAUCCCUUGUCUAUUCUUUUUGGAAAAACAAAAUAUAUGCCGAGCACUCGUCUCGUUCGGUUUAUUAUUGUUAUUACUCGUCGUUUAAAUUCAAUAUAUAUUUAUUGUCACCUAUCUCGUGAACUAAUUUGAUUUCCAAGAAUUAUUAACUCUUAAGCUAUUGAAAUCUUUGAUCGAUUCGAAAUCCUCUUCAUGGAACUUAAUAAGUUCUCAUCUUGAUUCGGGAAUUAUUCGAAUAAUUUCUCAUCCCGAUUCCUUGAUUACUCAAUUGAGUUCUUUUAUCGAUUCUUGAAUAAUUUGGAGUUUCAGUCCGAUUCUCAAUCAUUGUGAAUCGUUUCACAUAUUGACUUGUAUACUAGUUGGAACCACUUCUAUUCUACAGUGGUUCAAUAAACGUAAAUCGUUCUUGUCCCGACUCUUGGACCAUUUAGGAUUAUUCUAUUUAUCCAUUAAAUCACUCGUUUCGUACCCACUGAGAAUUUGAUGGAUCGUUCAUAUCUUGACUUCCCAUUGAUCCUUUGAAACCACUUGUCUUUCGAGCUAUACAACUACGGAUUCAAUUUUAACCGUAGACUAUUGUUGAUUAAGAUCCAUCUUCAUAAUUGUUAUACGAUCUUUGAAUUGUGGUCACUCUCUUAUUGAAACCAUUGAUCGUACCCUUCUUGACUUGUGAUUUUGUGACCACAAGAUAUUAUCACUUGUUAUUGGAAUCCCACAAUCGUUGAACUGUGAUAUUGAUUCUUUCUAAAAUUGAAUUCAUUAUUGGGAUUCAAAAUGUAAAUUGAGAUAGUCGGAAGCAUAUCCGAUAUCUAUACGAUUGUAAUCCUUUGGGGACGCCCUAAGGAUAAUUGAACAGUGGGCCCGGGGCUGUUCGAAAAAGACUGCUGGGCGGUAUCGGGCCGACGGUGGAUGGUCUCUUCGACAGUACCCAUAUUGGAUUUAGACCAUUGGCAUAGUUGGAGGUUAACUGUGCUGAUGGCUGAAUUGGCAUGCGCCCGGGCAUGCCUAUUGAUCGAUUAGCAGGGUAGCUCCCUGAUCGGGGUUAUAAGGUAGUAACGACUAAGGGAGUCACAAGGCUGGUACAGGUACAUGAACAAAUUGUUACCAUGGGAAUCUCCAUGGUCUCAUAUUUGAUAUCCGAAAUUGUUAUCGUGGGAAUCUCCACGCCGGGAAUUACCCGUUGAAUAUUGUUCUUUACCUGUACAUAUUGAUUGUAUUGUUUAUUCUGAUCAUACUGACAUGCCUUAUAUUUUGGCCUAUUAUCCCUUUUCGAACGAUCAUUCUGGUCCAAUUUCAACUCCAAUUCCAUCUCCAAUUCCUUGAACACUUAUAUUGUGAUUAUUAUUUGAUUCGACUGUUUUUCCCUUGUACUCCUCACUAAGUCCACUUGGACUUACUCCUCCUUUAUUUUUCUUCUUAUUCUCAGUAACAUGUGCAUUAGUGGACGAUAUAUUGUUGAUGGCUCUUAGGAGUAGAAGUUAUUCAGAGAUUUUAGAGAGUUUAAUCUAGUGUUGUGUUUAAGAAUGAUUGUAAUUCGAGAACUAUGAAUACGAGAUUAGUUGUGGCAUUUGGUUGUCACGUGUAUUUGAUAUUAUUGUUCAGAAAUUAAGUAAGAGACAUUAUAUUUAUCGGAAGUCAUUGUAUUUAUU